rnacentral:rRNA from 1 species
GUGCCAGCAGCCGCGGUAGUAUGUAGGUGGCAAGCGUUAUCCGGAAUUAUUGGGCGUAAAGCGCGCGCAGGUGGUUUCUUAAGUCUGAUGUGAAAGCCCACGGCUCAACCGUGGAGGGUCAUUGGAAACUGGGAGACUUGAGUGCAGAAGAGGAAAGUGGAAUUCCAUGUGUAGCGGUGAAAAGCGUUGGGAUAUGGAGGAACACCAGUGGCGAAGGUGACUUUCUGGUCUGUAACUGACACUGAGGCGCGAAAGCGUGG